rnacentral:rRNA from 1 species
AUUGAACGCUGGCGGCAGGCUUAACACAUGCAAGUCGAGCGGGGUGAUGGUGCUUGCACUAUCACUUAGCGGCGGACGGGUGAGUAAUGCUUAGGAAUCUGCCCAUUCGUGGGGGACAACAUCUCGAAAGGGAUGCUAAUACCGCAUACGUCCUACGGGAGAAAGCAGGGGACCACUUGUGACCUUGCGCUAAUAGAUGAGCCUAAGUCGGAUUAGCUAGUUGGUGGGGUAAAGGCCUACCAAGUCGACGAUCUGUAGCGGGUCUGAGAGGAUGAUCCGCCACACUGGGACUGAGACACGGCCCAGACUCCUACGGGAGGCAGCAGUGGGGAAUAUUGGACAAUGGGGGGAACCCUGAUCCAGCCAUGCCGCGUGUGUGAAGAAGGCCUUAUGGUUGUAAAGCACUUUAAGCGAGGAGGAGGCUCUUUUGGUUAAUACCCAAGAUGAGUGGACGUUACUCGCAGAAUAAGCACCGGCUAACUCUGUGCCAGCCGCCGCGGUAA